rnacentral:rRNA from 1 species
UACGUAGGGUGCGAGCGUUGUCCGGAAUUAUUGGGCGUAAAGAGCGUGUAGGCGGCCUGAAAGGUCAGCUGUGAAAACUCGAGGCUCAACCUCGAGACGUCGGUUGAAACCAUCUGGCUAGAGUCCGGAAGAGGAGUGUGGAAUUCCCGGUGUAGCGGUGAAAUGCGCAGAUAUCGGGAAGAACACCCGUGGCGAAGGCGGCACUCUGGGACGGUACUGACGCUGAGACACGAAAGCGUGGGGAGCAAACAGG